rnacentral:rRNA from 1 species
GAUGAACGCUGGCGGCGUGCCUAAUACAUGCAAGUCGAACGCUGGAGAUCUAGCUUGCUAGAUCGAAGGGGUGGCGAACGGGUGAGUAAUACAUAAGCAACCUACCCACGAAGACUGGGAUAAUCUCUGGAAACGGGGACUAAUACCGGAUAGGUAAUCGGAAGGCAUCUUCUGGUUAUUAAAGGUUAAAAACACUGGUGGAUGGGCUUAUGGCGCAUUAGUUAGUUGGUGAGGUAACGGCCCACCAAGACGAUGAUGCGUAGCCGGCCUGAGAGGGUGAACGGCCACAUUGGGACUGAGACACGGCCCAGACUCCUACGGGAGGCAGCAGUAGGGAAUUUUCGGCAAUGGGGGCAACCCUGACCGAGCAACGCCGCGUGAGUGAAGACGGCCUUCGGGUUGUAAAGCUCUGUUGUAAGGGAAGAACGGUAGAUAGAGAAUAUCUAAGUGACGGUACCUUACCAGAAAGCCACGGCUAACUACGUG